ensembl:lncRNA
GCUAGUGCUAUUUUGGGAGCCAUUUUAGAAGGUGAGUGGAACUGUGUGGGCUGAUCCAGUGAACUGUCCAAAUUCAUUAACGGAAAUUAACUGCUGCUCAGAGAGAGUACCUUGGUGGCUGAAUCCUAUCAUCAGAAAACAGCUUCACAGCCCCUUCUCAGACCCUCUGUUACAUGUCGCUUGACAGAAGCAGGUUAUGACCUCUGGUUUGGAUUGAACAAAAGACAGUGGGAAGCAGUGGCCCUAAUAGGAGAAGGAGGGGCUCAGAGUCCAUAGAGAAGUUCCACGUCUGCCUCCAGCCCCCAGCCUGAAGACAGUAACCACCAGGGAUGGGGAUGCAGGAAUGGAGUCAAUCAGCAGGAGAUGCCGCUGCUGCGGGGACAGCUGUCUGCCAGGUGUUUGGUCCAGGCGUGUCUCUGCAUCACAAGCAGGCUUGAAGAGGUCAGAACAUGCUCACCGUGAGAGCUGUGGAGACGGUCCUGGUGUGUCUCCCAGCUUGCAGGAGAGGACUUUUAGCCUCAGCAGUGCCAUCUCUGCUCUAGGAGGGCUCUUCCAGGCUUCAGCCAGAGGGCAGGAGCCAUCCUUCCACCCUUAGCCCCUCUCUGCAGCUGCAGCCUCUCCUGUUGCUCUGCCCCUGCAGCCAGGAUGCAUCCUCCUCUGCUGCCCCGGCCACCAGGCCUGGUAAGCUCUCCUCUGCCUGCUCUUUAACUUCUGCUCUCACAAUGCAGAGCUUAAAAGAUUAAAUCUUUAUUUAUGGAUUUAAUUAUACCAUAGAAGAAUUAUAAAUGUGGAAGCCAGUGUAUUACUUUGCAGAGCAGAACGAGAAAGUAAAAACGAAGGCCUCUUGGCAGCCUCUCUCCAGAACAUGGGUUCUGACAAUAUCUGCAGUUGGACUCAUCUCCAGAACACUCUGACAUGACCUCCGGGUCAUGACCUCCAGCCUUCCCAACUCCGCCUUCUCUGAGAAUGGACACCCUACCUCCUCAUCCACAAGGGGGAUGUGUGUGUGUGGCCCAGGGGGAACAAAUCAGAUUGCC